GACGAACGCUGGCGGCGUGCCUAACACAUGCAAGUCGAACGAGAUCCAUGGGAGCUUGCUCCCGGAAGAUCUAGUGGCGAACGGGUGAGUAACACGUGAGAAACCUGCCCUGGAGUGGGGAAUAACUCGGGGAAACUCGAGCUAAUACCGCAUACCCUCGGAUGGUCGCAUGGCCGACCGAGGAAAGAUUUAUCGCUCUAGGAGGGUCUCGCGGCCUAUCAGCUAGUUGGUGGGGUAACGGCCUACCAAGGCAACGACGGGUAGCUGGUUUGAGAGAACGAUCAGCCACACUGGGACUGAGACACGGCCCAGACUCCUACGGGAGGCAGCAGUGGGGAAUCUUGCGCAAUGGGCGAAAGCCUGACGCAGCAACGCCGCGUGCGGGAUGACGGCCUUCGUGGUUGUAAACCGCUUUCAGCAGGGACGAAAAUGACGGUACCUGCAGAAGAAGCCCCGGCUAACUACGUGCCAGCAGCCGCGGUAAU
rnacentral:rRNA from 1 species